GAUGAAAGCCUCAAACAGAUUUAAAGACUACUUAACUGAGACGGGUAAUAGCAAUCGUAAUAAAAAAAAAUUAAAUAAAUAACACGAACCCAUAUCAGAAAUCGGAAGUUGCAGGUAAUGGAGGAUUGGAAAUAGCUGGAUUUUUGUUCUUCUCAUAAAUAGGUACAAAAGACAGAAUUUCAGGAAUAACCCAGAGAUCUCCUCGCAGCUGGUUCGAAUGUAUGUUUUAUUGUAUUCUUAGUCUUGUAUGGUAUAGUCAGUCUCGAUUUGCCCCCCCAAAAAAAAAAAAAAAUCCAUGGAAGUGGGCUACGAAUUCUAACUCUUCUCUUCCUCUGUGUUUUUUUGUCAUUUCGAGUUUUCUCGUUCUUGCUGUUCCCAGAUGGUUAUCCGUCCAUGGGUUUUGCUCUGUUUUUGGUUUUACAGUGCAUCUGGGUAAAGGACGUUCUAGGAAGUCCUUAGGAGGUGAUUCAAGUCUCCUAUUCUCUGCUUUCCUUCCUCAUUAUCAUCUCCAUUUGGGUAUUUCCUUAUUUUUCGAUUUCAUAAAUGCUGGGUAUUACUUGCUUAGAUUUAUAGGGAAAAAGUUCAUCAAGAAACCGAGUUAUCAAGAAAAUACGUAGAGUUGUUUCCUUUUUUUGUUUUUUUUGUUUUUUCGAUCUGGUACUUGGAUUUCUCGUUUUUCGUGUGAAAAAAUAUAUAUUUUUUUUCUAUUUAAGUUCUAUUCAUUUUGUUGAGUUCUUCUAGAAUCAAGCAUUAUGGGUUCCUCUGUGCAAUCCAUUGAAGGGGUUGUUGAGGAGAUCAUGAGAACUCACAAAUCUCUGCCCACUAGGCCUGGUAUAGAUGAAGUUGAAGCUGCGAAGGUCUUGAUCUGGAAUGUUGAGAAGGAAGAACAGUCCAGAAUAGAUGCAAUAUCUAAGCAGAGAAAGGGCCCCAGUAUCCCAGAUGAGUUGUUCUUUGUGAUGCAAGAGAUGCAGAAGAAUUUAGUGUUUUUCCAGAGUAAAGAACAGAAGAGAGAAGCUUUGCAAUUGCUUGAUCUCGAAAACAUCCAUGCGCUAUUCGAUGAAUUCAUCCAAAGAGCAUCAAAAUGCGUCCCUUCUGCCUCCAAUUCUAAUCAGCCUGACAGCUCCAACGGCUCAAUUUCCACAAUUUCGAGCUGUUUCUCUGCAAGCAGUGCUUCUGCCUCUGUUACUGGUUUCGAAUCUUCAGGGACUUCGUCUGGGUUCUACGCUGAGAAAGAAUCUCUAAGGGGUUCUGAGCUGUUUACUAGAGAUGAUAGUUGUUUGAAGACGGCAAAGGCAUCCUUUUGUAGCGAUGGAGUUCGAACUGUUCCAUAUAGACCCCUUGUCUCGGAUUCUUCUCUCAAAUCUGUAUCUACUUCUGGUCAAGAUGGUGAGAAGUUGAGUCUGAUUAAAUUAGCCAGUUUGAUUGAGGUCACCUCAAAGAAAGGUACAAAGGAACUCAACCUCCAGAACAAGUUGAUGGAUCAGAUAGAAUGGUUACCAGAUUCAAUAGGGAAGCUUUCAGGUUUAUUAACUCUCGAUUUGUCUGAAAACCGGAUCGUAGCUUUACCAGCCACAAUUGGAAGGCUUUCUUUGUUGGCAAAACUAGACCUGCGUUCAAACAAGAUUUCCGAACUACCUGAAUCCAUUGGGGAUCUCUUUAGCCUGGUUUAUCUAAAUUUGGGAGGGAAUGGUUUAGCAUCUCUGCCUGCUGCAAUCGGUAGAUUAUCCUGUCUUGAGGAGCUCGAUGUGAGCUCAAACCAACUUUCAUUGCUUCCUGAGUCAAUUGGAAACCUUGUUGGCCUGAAGAAGUUGAACAUUGAAACAAAUAAUAUUGAAGAAAUCCCACAUGCUAUUGGCCAGUGCACAUCCCUUGUUGAGCUAAGAGCAGACUAUAACCGCCUGAAAGCCAUUCCAGAAGCUGUAGGGAGGAUCGCAUCACUUAAGCUUCUCUCUGUUAGGUAUAAUAAUAUCAGACAACUACCUACCACAGUGGCAUCUCUAACCAACUUGAGGGAGCUUGAUGUUAGCUUCAACGAGCUUGAAGCAGUGCCAGAGAGCUUGUGCCUUGUGACCACACUCGUCAAGAUGAAUGUAGGGAGUAAUUUUGCAGACCUACAGUCGCUACCACGAUCCAUUGGGAACCUUGAGAUGCUGGAAGAAUUGGAUAUCAGCAAUAAUCAAAUACGUGUCCUUCCAGACUCUUUUGGGAUGCUAUCGCGGUUGCGGGUGCUUCGUGCAGAAGAAAAUCCUCUGGAAGUGCCACCUAGGCAUAUUGCAGAAAAGGGUGCACAGGCAGUCAUUGAAUACAUGACUGAACUCGUUGCGAGGAGGGAUAUCAAGGCACAACCAAUCAAGCAAAAAAAGAAUUGGACUCAAUUCUGCUUGUUUUCAAGGCCUAACAAAAGGAAGCAUGAGGGUCUGGACUAUGUGAAAACCUAAUUUUGGAAGCUCGAACAAGGACAGAACAUUUCACUCUAUUGGGUAAAGUCCUUUGCUGUCUUCUGUUUGACGUGCUCAUGACAUUUUAGUCCUUAGCAUUUCCCAGCAUUACGCAAAUAUGUGAUUUCUGCAAGGGAGUGAGUAUCAGAAGUUUGAUGGAAACUCUUAUGUUUGUACAAGGAAUCCUCCUGGUCCAAGAAAUGAAGGGCUAUGCAGAUAUGACUCUGAUCUUUGCUUUGUAGUGUAGUUCACAUUAUCUGUUAUUUCUAUUUUAUUUUUUUAUGUCAUUGAACCCCAUUGACCUCUAGUGUCAAAGAGAGAGAGAGAGAGGGAGAGAGAGAGGUUGUAUUCCACAAGCAUCAAUUGUUAAAUAAAUACAUAUGUUCUCCCUUUA